rnacentral:rRNA from 1 species
ACUCCUACGGGAGGCAGCAGUGGGGAAUAUUGGACAAUGGGCGCAAGCCUGAUCCAGCCAUGCCGCGUGAGUGAUGAAGGCCCUAGGGUUGUAAAGCUCUUUCACCGGUGAAGAUAAUGACGGUAACCGGAGAAGAAGCCCCGGCUAACUUCGUGCCAGCAGCCGCGGUAAUACGAAGGGGGCUAGCGUUGUUCGGAUUUACUGGGCGUAAAGCGCACGUAGGCGGACUAUUAAGUCAGGGGUGAAAUCCCGGGGCUCAACCCCGGAACUGCCUUUGAUACUGGUAGUCUUGAGUUCGAGAGAGGUGAGUGGAAUUCCGAGUGUAGAGGUGAAAUUCGUAGAUAUUCGGAGGAACACCAGUGGCGAAGGCGGCUCACUGGCUCGAUACUGACGCUGAGGUGCGAAAGCGUGGGGAGCAAACAGGAUUAGAAACCCCUGUAGUCCCAUG